rnacentral:rRNA from 1 species
AGAGUUUGAUCCUGGCUCAGGAUGAACGCUGGCGGCAUGCCUAAUACAUGCAAGUCGAACGAGGAUCCUUUGGGAUCCUAGUGGCGAACGGGUGAGUAACACGUAGGGAACCUGCCCGCGCACCGGGAAUACGCUCUGGAAACGGAGAACAAAUCCCGAUGUACAGGAAGGAGGCAUCUUCUUUCUGUGAAGCAUCCUUUACAGGAUGGGGCGCGGAUGGACCUGCGGUGCAUUAGUUAGUUGGCGAGGGUAAAGGCCCACCAAGACGAUGAUGCAUAGCCGGCCUGAGAGGGCGGACGGCCACAUUGGGACUGAGACACGGCCCAGACUCCUGCGGGAGGCAGCAGUAGGGAAUUUUCGUCAAUGGGCGCAAGCCUGAACGAGCGAUGCCGCGUGAGUGAAGAAGGCCUUCGGGUCGUAAAGCUCUGUUGCGGGGGAAAAAAGGCAACUACAGGAAAUGGUAGAUGACAGAUGGUGCCCCGCCAGAAAGUCACGGCUAACUACGUGCCAGCAGCCGCGGUAAUACGUAGGUGGCGAGCGUUAUCCGGAAUGAUUGGGCGUAAAGGGUGCGCAGGCGGUCCUGCAAGUCUGGAGUGAAACGUAUGAGCUCAACUCAUGCAUGGCUCUGGAAACUGGAGGACUGGAGAGCAGGAGAGGGCGGUGGAACUCCAUGUGUAGCGGUAAAAUGCGUAGAUAUAUGGAAGAACCCAGUGGCGAAGGCGGCCGCCUGGCCUGUUGCUGACGCUGAGGCACGAAAGCGUGGGG